rnacentral:rRNA from 1 species
UACGGGGGGGGGCUAGCGUUGUUCGGAAUUACUGGGCGUAAAGGGCGCGUAGGCGGCCCACUAAGUCGGACGUGAAAUCCCUCGGCUCAACCGGGGAACUGCGUCCGAUACUGGUGGGCUCGAAUCCGGGAGAGGGAUGUGGAAUUCCAGGUGUAGCGGUGAAAUGCGUAGAUAUCUGGAGGAACACCGGUGGCGAAGGCGGCAUCCUGGACCGGUAUUGACGCUGAUGCGCGAAAGCCAGGGGAGCAAACGGG